rnacentral:rRNA from 1 species
UACAGGGGGGGCAAGCGUUGUUCGGAAUUACUGGGCGUAAAGGGCUCGUAGGCGGCCAACUAAGUCCGACGUGAAAUCCCCAAGCUUAACUUGGGAACUGCGUCGGAUACUGGAUGGCUUGAAUUCGGGAGAGGGAUGCAGAAUUCCAGGUGUAGCGGUGAAAUGCGUAGAUAUCUGGAGGAAUACCGGUGGCGAAGGCGGCAUCCUGGACCGACAUUGACGCUGAGGAGCGAAAGCUAGGGGAGCAAACAGG